rnacentral:rRNA from 1 species
AAUUUUCGGCAAUGGGCGCAAGCCUGACCGAGCAACGCCGCGUGAAGGAUGAAGGCCUUCGGGUCGUAAACUUUUGUCUUUGGGGACGAUAAUGACGGUACCCAAGGAGGAAGCCCCGGCUAACUACGUGCCAGCAGCCGCGGUAAUACGUAGGGGGCGAGCGUUGUCCGGAAUUAUUGGGCGUAAAGGGUGCGUAGGCGGCCUUUUAAGUCAGGUGUGAAAGCCCACGGCUUAACCGUGGGAUUGCAUUUGAAACUGGAAGGCUUGAGUAUCGGAGAGGGUAGUGGAAUUCCCAGUGUAGCGGUGGAAUGCGUAGAUAUUGGGAGGAACACCAGUGGCGAAGGCGACUACCUGGACGAAAACUGACGCUGAGGCACGAAAGCUAGGGGAGCAAAC